rnacentral:lncRNA from 1 species
UUUCCGCCUUUUCGUUUUGUGCAAAACGCUUUUCGAGGUUUUCAAGGAAAACUUUGGCAUUAUUUUCAUCAUUCAUAGUGCCCUAAAAGAUUCUAGAAUUGCACGUUUCAUGAUCAUUAGACUCAUGCGAUUUGAGCAUUCCCGCUUCUCCAUCUCCUUCUUUUCAUCAGAAGAAGAUGUAUCCUCAAGAGAAGCAGAUUUCUCAAUCCGAAGUGCAAGGUCUAGAUCCAUGCAACCGAGAACUAUCAUAAUGUUCUCUUUCCAUCCUUAAAGUUUGUGCCGUUAAGCACAGGGAUGCUGUUAAUGUUUGCAGAUAUUGUAGCGGCUGAAGAAUUCACUGAAAAUAGAAUAAGGACAACUU